GUUAACCUCCAGUUAAACGUUACUGUAAUAUUUAUCAAUCAAUCUGCUAAUACUGAUUUUCAAAAUUACAGUGUGAUUCUUCCACCGGUCAGUGCCAAUUGAAACAAAAUGUCGUCAAUCAUAAAUACGAUCGCUGUGGGUUCCAGAUGUAAUAUCUGAUGUGAUUUGUUAGCUAUCCGCAUUCUGAUCCCGGUAUCCUCUUCUAUUUAAUCAGUUCUGACGCCGUUGUUUACAAUCGACUCCCAGAUGAUAAAGAUGCUUACUUUGACUCGCUGACUGAACUUACUUUACCACUUAUAUCGGUAUGUAUAUUGUAAGUAGACACAUACGUACCCUCUAUCAAAUAGUGUUACCACAGAAAAAAAAAAUUAACGACGACAGAAGGCAGCAUUACCGGAGAGAUUGUGUAUUCUUGCGUCCCUCCCUUAAAUCCCGUUUAUUACUUACUCUGUUUUAUUGGACCUGGAACAUUUGACGUAUACAAAUGACAAUCACACAUCUGUCGGUGCAUUUGGUUCUUUCGGUUUUCUUCCACUUUUCGUGUAGGAGUAAGGGAGAAUCUAAAUCCUACGACGGUAUUGGAGAUAGUCGUUACUUAGUUCAUGUGCUAGCCUAUGGCUAUUCAAAUCCAGUAAUUUGUUUGGUUAGUUGUUUGUUCGUCAAACAUGUUCAGCCGGUGACUAGAAACGACUUUAUUCUCAACAGCAGUCUGACUGGUUUCCUUCUUUUGUCGAUUUCUUUUGAAGUCAAGUUGAUUUUAAUAAUUUGUGACAAGCAGUUUAUUACAUGGAAACCUUAAAUUC